GACGAACGCUGGCGGCGUGCUUAACACAUGCAAGUCGAACGGACAGACAGAGAGCUUGCUCUCUUGAAGUUAGUGGCGAACGGGUGAGUAACGCGUAAUCAACCUGCCCUUCAGAGGGGGGUAACAACGGGAAACCGUUGCUAAUACCGCGUACGAUUCAUGAACGGCAUCGUUUAUGAAUGAAAGGUGGCCUCUAUGUAUAAGCUAUCGCUGAAGGAGGGGAUUGCGUCUGAUUAGCUAGUUGGAGGGGUAACGGCCCACCAAGGCAAUGAUCAGUAGCCGGUCUGAGAGGAUGAACGGCCACAUUGGGACUGAGACACGGCCCAAACUCCUACGGGAGGCAGCAGUGGGGAAUCUUCCGCAAUGGACGAAAGUCUGACGGAGCAACGCCGCGUGAGUGAUGAAGGUCUUCGGAUUGUAAAGCUCUGUUAAUCGGGACGAAAGAGUUCUGCGUGAAUAAUGCAGAAAGGUGACGGUACCGGAAUAGAAAGCCACGGCUAACUACGUGCCAGCCGCCGCGGUAA
rnacentral:rRNA from 1 species